rnacentral:rRNA from 1 species
AUUGAACGCUGGCGGCAUGCCUUACACAUGCAAGUCGAACGGUAACAGGUCUUCGGAUGCUGACGAGUGGCGAACGGGUGAGUAAUACAUCGGAACGUGCCUAGUAGUGGGGGAUAACUACUCGAAAGAGUGGCUAAUACCGCAUGAGAUCUACGGAUGAAAGCAGGGGAUCGCAAGACCUUGUGCUACUAGAGCGGCCGAUGGCAGAUUAGGCAGUUGGUGGGAUAAAGGCUACCAAGCCGACGAUCUGUAGCUGGUCUGAGAGGACGAUCAGCCACACUGGGACUGAGACACGGCCCAGACUCCUACGGGAGGCAGCAGUGGGGAAUUUUGGACAAUGGGCGCAAGCCUGAUCCAGCAAUGCCGCGCGCAGGAUGAAGGCCUUCGGGUUGUAAACUGCUUUUGUACGGAACGAAAAGCCCCGGGUUAAUACCCUGGGGUCAUGACGGUACCGUAAGAAUAAGCACCGGCUAACUACGUGCCAGCCGCCGCGGUAA